rnacentral:lncRNA from 1 species
AAUUUCCGUGGAAGUCCUAAAUUUCCAUGGAAGUAAUCAUGUUGACGUUUUAAAAGUAAUUGGAAUGAACUUCUAGAAAACGCUUUUUACCUCUUACCAUGUAUGUGGAGGGAAGUUAGGAGACACUGGGACCUCCCAACCUGCUUUAAGCAUAUUUCCCCAGCACAUAUGCUAUUCCUUUUGUAUUAACUGGGCACCUUUGGAAGUGGAAGUUCCUAAAGUGCUAGAAGGUUCUCCCCUCAUCAGAGAACACUGGGCUUGAUUUGCUCUGAUUCAAUAAUGACUGAGCAGCAUCCCUUGAUGACACAGAGGAGAGACACAAACCCUAACCCAAAAGGCAGAAAACGUCACAAACAACUGAUGCAAGACGGAAUGUUAACGCUACCUGAACGUGCAAAGGGAGGAUUCAGAAAAGGAACUGUGAGCUCCUUGCAUCAGGGUCCAGGAGUUGCUCAUCUGCAUACCCUCGGCAUACAAAGCUCCCCAUGGGAUGGAGAAGGCAGAUGUUCGCACAGAUCAGGAAGAACACAAUGUGUGAUCGUUAGGACAGACCACUUGCUGUAGGCAGGAGUUUUGAUUGGAAGGUGAAUCCGAAGACCUCCCAGGGACCAAGAUGGUUUUAAGAGGAUCAACUUCAGAUGUUCCAGUUCCACACUGACUGAAAAAUGGCUGUGACAGUGUAGAGCCAUCGCUUUCCUCAACUCCUCAUUCACUUUGAUGAGUUUCACCUUGGGGUGUUAUGCAGGGGCGUAAAAGUCUUUAGG